GUCACCCCGUCAACCAGUGUCGGUCUCGCGUCGGGGACAGAUGUGCGUGGCGAGUGUAUCUCCCUGGGUGUGUAUGUGUGUCCACGCCUAUCAAGUGACCACAUAACUUUCUUUCCCUGGUGAUAUGAAGGCGUGGACGCUGCCAUAGUGAAAAACAAGCUGCCCUGUCACUCGUGACUCAGGAGAGCGGCAAGUCCUGGGGCUACUACAUGGGGCACUCCUACCCCCCCCCGGCGCCCCCCCAGCCCAAUUCAGUAAUCGCCCUCAUCCCCCGAGGACCCCGCCCCCCCUAUCUGCGAGGGAAACAAGCAACAUGAAAAAGGAAGGAAGGAGUUAAGAACUGAAAUGUUGGUGGCACAGUGUGUGGUGGUAAUAUCGACUUGAAAUACAGGCAAUGUGAUAACAAACCCACUGUAACUUUACCUUGGCUGGACAACGAGAGACGACCAGUUAAAGAUUCAAGUGUUUCCACACUAAAUGAAAUGUUUGUUGUGUGUUUGUUACGAACGUGAAAUACAGGUAACACGACCUACAAAACUAACUUAACAUUACAUCACACUAAAUCAAACUUAACUUCACCCUAACUUUGCAGGAAAAGAGAGAAAGAAUCACCUUCCUGUGUUUUCGAGACAGCGUGAGUGGCUCGGCUUCGUGAACCUACACUGCGCCUCUUCCCCCUCACUCUCUCUCUCUCUCUCUCUCUCUCAUCAGCCGCACGGAGACACGGACGCAAGGGCACCCCUCACUGUCACUCCCUGCCAGGACGCACGAACACACACAUACGCGCAUACUCCAUCAUCUGGAUGAGGGAGCACAACUGUGUGUGUGACGAGCUGCUCAAGACUCACCCAAAUCUUGGGAUGACAACUGCCUCUACCAGACUGUCCGCCUUACUGUCAUCAUUGUCAUCAGUGAGGAGAGAGAGGGAGAGAGAGAGAGAGAGAGAGAGAGAGAGAGAGAGAGAGAGAGAGAGAGAGAGAGAGAGAGGUGACUAGUAAGAUGGAAGGUUAGAUAAUGAGAUAUUUUGGUAAGGUGGAGGAAAUGGAAGUGAAGGUUUGUUUUGGAAGGCAAGUUUGAAAUUAGAAGGGUGGAGUGAGUGAGAGAGCUGACAUCAAGGAACCACACACACGCUCUCUACCCAGUGCUGGAGGAGGUGAAUGAAAACGGCCGCCAGCUGAGGUUCCAGGGGCUCUACACGUACCGCAGGAGGUUUAGCAUGCAGCCCUUCACCUCCUUCCUAGACCUGGCUGGUGACCCCAAACUGGCGGCUGACCUGGAGCACUUCUGCAGGGACAUAGAGGCUGUGGAGUACUAUGUCAGUCUUGUCACGGCACGCCCCAGCCCCUCGGUCACCCUGCCGUCCACGGUCAGUUUGGGAGGCCCCUGGAGUGUGAAGGGGCUUGUGGCUGCCCAUUUACAGCCCUAAUUACUGGAAGUCCUCCACUUCUGGCAGCAAGGAAGGCUUUCAGGUCGUCAAGACAGCCACUCUGAAGAAACCCUUCUGCCUCAACAUGAAAACAGGCCGUUAGAAUGAGAAUGUCGCGUUCACAGUCUCUCCCUGGUACGUCCUGAGCUUCCAGGGCUGUGUUAGGGUACAUUCAUGCUACGGCUGCGUCUUCAGGUCCUCCCAGCCCAUCCUGGUGCACCCCGAGUCCCUGAAUGUGGGUUAGGGUGUCGGGGUGUGUGGCUGUUGCCUGGGAGGUGAGUUGAAGCUUCUCACAGUUAAAGUUUGGGUGCCCAAGUGUGUGUGUGUGUGUGUGUGUGUGUGUGUGUGUGUGUGUGUGUGUGUGUGUGUGUGUUGGUGUGUGAGGCAAGUGAAGCUUGGGUAUUUAUUUGUGUAGGUGGAGUGUGCUUACAUUUCCUUGUUUAUUGAUUUUUAAUGAUAGGCAAGGUGGAACUAUUACUUAUUUUAUUAUUUUAUGUAUCUAUUUAUUUAUUUACUUAUUUUUGUAAAAGGGGAAUAUGAUGGUUGUGUUAUUUGUUAUUAUUUGUAUUGACAGCAAGAAAAGACUCUGAUCUCUUCCCUUUUGCAGAGAUCUCCAUUCUUGGAGACUUCAAUGUUCACCACCAGCUUUGGCUUUCCUCUCCCUUCACUGACCAUCCUGGUGAACUAGCCUACAAUUUUGCUAUCCUCCAUGACCUAGAGCAAUUGGUGCAACACCUUACUCGUAUUCCUGAUCGUCUUGGAGAUACGCCCAACAUUCUUGACCUUUUCCUGACCUCUAAUCCUUCUGCUUAUGCUGUCACCCUUUCUUCUCUGUUGGGCUCCUCCGAUCACAAUCUCAUAUCUUUAUCUUGUCCUAUCACUCCAAUCCCUCCUCAGGAUCCCCCUAAGCGAAGGUGCCUCUGGCGUUUUGCCUCUGCUAGUUGGGGGGACCUGAGGAGGUAUUUUGCUGAUUUUCCUUGGAAUGACUACUGCUUCCGUGUCAGAGAGCCGUCUUUGUGUGCUGACCGCAUAACAGAGGUGAUAGUGUCUGGCAUGGAGGCGUACAUUCCUCACUCUUUUUCUCGUCCUAAACCUUCUAAACCUUGGUUUAACACAGCUUGUUCUCGUGCUAUACAUGAUAGAGAGGUGGCCCACAAAAGGUACUUAAGCCUUCCUUCACCAGAAUCUCAUGCACUUUAUAUUUCUGCCCGGAACCAUGCCAAGUCUGUUCUCCAACUAGCCAAAAACUCCUUCAUUAACAGAAAAUGUCAAAACCUUUCAAGAUCUAACUCCCCUCGUGAUUUCUGGCAUCUAGCCAAAAAUAUCUCCAAUAACUUUGCUUCUUCUUCUUUCCCUCCUCUACUUCAACCAGAUGGCACCACUGCUAUCACAUCUAUUUCUAAAGCUGAACUCUUUGCUCAAACCUUUGCUAAAAACUCUACCUUGGACAAUUCUGGGCUUGUUCCUCCCUCUCCUCCACCCUCUGACUACUUCAUGCCACGUAUUAAAAUUCUUCGUAAUGAUGUUUUCCAUGCCCUCGCUAGCCUAAACCCUCGGAAGGCUUAUGGACCUGAUGGGGUCCCUCCUAUUGUUCUCCGAAACUGUGCCUCCGUGCUUGCACCUUGCCUAGUCAAACUCUUUCAGCUCUGUCUGUCAACAUCUACCUUUCCUUCUUGCUGGAAGUUUGCCUACAUUCAACCUGUUCCUAAAAAGGGUGACCGCUCUAAU